ensembl:lncRNA
CCUUGGCUCUGGCUGUUUCCCUAAGGUCUGUCAAAGGUGAUGCUGUAGUGCUGCCUGCUACCAGCAGGACCUCAGCACCCUUGGUGCUUCAGUGGUUCAGGUCUAUGGUGGUUUCUACUGUUGUGAUAAAACACCAUGGCCCAAACCAAUCUGGGGUAGACCUGUCAACUCACAGUCAACAGCUCACCAGGAGAGGAAGCUGAGACAAGAGCUGAAGAAGACCCCGAAAAACACUGCUUACGGGCUUGUUCCUCUUGUCCUGCUCAGUUUGCCUUUGUCUACACCCCAGGACCACCACCGAGGGGUGGCACAGCCCAGAAAAGGAUGGGCUUUUCACAUCUAUCACCAGUUUGAGAUGCGUACUGUGCAACCCCAGCUUGCACCUCACAUCUCUCCUCUGGAAUCUUCUUCUGUAUCCAACUGUGUUGGCAUUUGACACACAGCUGUUGAGUGCACGCCCCCAUAGAGUUGCCAAUCAGAUGGAUGCAAAGUCUUAGCUGAGGUUCUCUCUUCCCAGCUUGGUUCAAACUGGGCAAACAUAACCAGCACGCCAGUGGUUUUUCUGGGAAGAGCAGCAAUUCCCACCAACUCCAAUGACCACCUCUUCUUCUGCGACCUGCUAUUUCUUGUCAGGGCCUGUUGGACACGCCUUUAAUCAUGUUUCUACCUGAGAACUGUCGACCUUGGUCAGUCUACAGUGCACAUCGUACUCACGCAUACCACGUAAAAUGCACACAUAAAAACACCGAUCUUUAAAAGUCAAAGUGAGCCAAUAUAUGGGAUAAAAUAACACAUACACAGCAAAUACAUAUGUUGAAUAUUCUGAAUACCACUGGAAUUUGGGGGAAAACAGUUGAGCAUUUUUUUAAAAUGAUACAAUUACCUCAUGUCCUGGGUUUCCCUCCCCCAAGAGAAAUGCCCAUGUUUACAUAAAAAGGCUGCCUGUGUUUACAAGGUUUUAUGAAUUGACCCUUAUAUUUUGCAAAAACUCAAACAAAAACCUAAGCUUGUAACAAAGUGAACAUGGCAUUGAAGAAAAUGAUCAAAAAGGGAAAACAGGAACUCGUGCUUGCACCUGCCCAUCUCUUCUGCUGGCUAAAUGUCCCUCAACUUUCUGUCCAAGGUCGCUAAACAACUUGCUGGACAUCUUAAGUUACACUAAAAGCACUUUUCUGCCAAAACUCUUUCCCUUGGGCUAGCAAAAUGGCUCUGUGAGUAAAGGUGCUUAUGGUUCAAGCCUGGUGACCUGACUUCCCUC